ACUUAGAGCAGGGGGUGUGUGUGUUUGCCUGUCUGUGUCCAUGUGACGUCAAGACUGUCCGACAGCAGAAUGUUCAUCUGAGCUGAGCGCGUGCUGCAAUGAGCACAUGGAAGCUGAUCUGAAAACCUCCUCAUUGGGGAUCUAUCAUUCCGGCGAGCUCAAGUUUAUUUUCCAGAGGAUUACGUGAUACCCUGACCACAGAUCUCCGAUGGGAUUAUUUUUAACUUGGCUCCCCCGGUGGCAUUUGUGGAUUUACAAUAAUAAACAUCUGUGGACCGUGAUGUCUUCUGAAGAAACGGGAAUCUUGGCUAAAAGUUCUAAGUAUAUAUUUGGAGCAGGAAUCUUUUCAUCGCAGCUGAAACCCCAACAUUGCUAGAUGGAUAACCAGGACCGGAAUUUGGAGAGCACUCCGCCAUGAUUCCUUGGAACCACUUUAACGUAGAUGGAAAAUAUCUGUUUAUCUGCCAGACUCCUGAUUGGAUGGAUAUUACAAAAUAUAUGCAGAGCGUCUUCUAUACCUGGACAAAUGCGUGCAGCCCUCCGUCCUAAAGAUGGAAAUGAAAGGAGCCGCCUGCCUGACACUAUAUCCGAUGUUUGCUUUAUGUGGGGGAAUACUGGCAAAUCACACAAGUGACCCGUUUGGAACCUGACUGACGGUUGAUGUCCAUCAUUCUCUAACAAGCAUAUGAUGCAGAUGACCAUGGAGAUCCUGGCUUCAAAGUAUCGCUGAAGAUGAUGUCAGGUGUGCUUACGAUUAGUGACAGUGGGUCAUAGUACGGGGACUGUCCAUCACCGUGGCUGCAAGGAGUACAUAUUACAGUAACAUUGCUUAGAGCACUGUACAGUUGUCCCUGGCAACCAAAGCAAACGUCAAAUCAGCCCUGAGCAAUUACUGUGCUGUCCGGGUAAUUACUGAAUGGUUACAGUGACACAAGUAACUCAGGGUGUAGAAUGAUACUGAUCAGCAAAUAGAAAGGUCACAUAUAUUUAUUAUUAAUAUACACAUCUCACAAUUACUUCACAUUCUAUUCUGCUGGCUUCUGGUGACCAAAUAAAUCCACAUGGUUGAUGAGCGAUCUACUAAUGAGCAGCACUCCUGUGUUGAUGAUACAUUCUAAACUCCGUUUUAGAAAGCUGUAGUCCGUGCCCUGUAUCCAUCUCCCCCCUGGAGUUUGGUAGGCAGCCCCUCUCCCUGCUAGUGGAGAAAGGGUCAGUUUAGGAUUGGGCCUUUCAUUAGAGCCCCGUGACUUCCUAAAAAAAGCCUAUUCUAAGGGAAUCCCCCCCGGUAUUAUUCCACAUUCUUGUUGCUUGUGGUCUCUGCGUGAGCUGAACCAGGGUGGGAGGGUCAGGGCCGGCAACAGAAAUCUUGGGGCCCCGUACAGUGAUAUCCCUGGGGCCCCCUCGGAUUAUAUAUAUACAUUUAUAUAUAUUAAAGUGCAACGGAAUUUUCUGCGCUAUAUAAAAAGCUGUUAAUAAAUAUAUAUUUAUUUAUAUAUCUAUACACUUAUAUAAAUAUAUAUAUAUAUUUAUAUAUCUCCUUUCCCCCCCACACACACACACCAGACACCACAGUCUGAGUCUCCCUCUCUCCUUCCUCCCACACACCCCACAGUUUGUCUCUCCCCAAUUGCUCCAUGCUGCAUUCCCAGCUCCCCCACCUCAUCCCAAAGUCCUGUAUCCCCUCACCGAUCCACUCUUACCCCGGGGAGAGACCCCCCCCUGCGCUGCACUCCCCAGUAUCCAGAUCCGAACACCGCACAGCAGGUAAAGUAGGCAAAUAUGACUGUGCAGAAUAUCCUUGGGGCCACUCUGACCCUUGGGGCCCGGUACAGUUGUCCCCUUUGACCCCCCCUACCCUGUCGCCAGCCCUGGAGAGGGUGAACCAGAUCAGAAAGGUAUUAAAUCCACCUAGCAUCAGCUAAGACUCCACAAACUCCUCCCCCUAACAAUCCUAUAGGACAGGAGAAAACACAAGUAAAAUUCUCAACCUUAAACAACUCCAACACAUUAAAGAGGCAACACAGAGAGAAAUACCCCAUGUUUAUUUCAAUGCAAAAGCUUCAGUCCUGUUGAGAUGUCUCUGAGAGUACUUUUUAUGCUUUAAUAUGUUUAGUAUGUCUACAUACUGUAUAUUUAGAUAUAAUAGGAAUAAUAAGCAAUAAAAAAAAGAUGUAAAAUAAAUAAGAUCAAAGCCUAAUAACUUAGGAUUGUUGAUGUUAGAAAGCAUUUAAACAUGGCUGAACAAGGUUUCUGGUACAUAGUAAUGUUUCACAGUACUACUAUAAUAAACCGUAUUAUUAUUUUUUUUCCAUUAAAACAUUAAUGCAAAAAAAAAAAAAAAAAAAAAGGUUUAAAAAAAAAUAUUUAAAAAGUCUUUAGCCCUGCUACAGUAACCCAUUAAAUUGGAUGCAAGAAAUGCAAAAUGUGUUUUGUUACAGUGUUUAUCCGGGGAAAACCCUGAUACAUAAGACACAAGCCCCUAAAUUUAUUUUACAAUCACAAGACAGAAGAUAAAAGUUUGCGGAUGAUGUUAUUAUCAGUUGUUUUUCUUGGGUGAAAUAUCUUUCCAUAUCUUUAAUAAAGUUAUUGUUUGUCUAAGCAA